CCCUGAUUUGUUUGCAGUUUCGAUUACCUUCCUGGUUUCAACCCUUCCCAGCCUCAUGAUUCCUGUACCUGCCUGCCUGUGAGCCUAAAGAUACAUUUACUGUGGGGCCCCUCUACAGGAAACGGAACCAAGUCAUGUGACACUGCAGGACCCAGUUGAUACUGUGUUAACGUUAAUGGUGCAAAUUACCAAACAGCAACUGGCAGGGCCCCAAGUGAGUCAUGCCAUUAGCACAAAAUGCUGCCCUGCUAAUGGUUGGCCAGUUUCCGCCAUGUCCACUUCAUGACAGACGCCCCAUUUGUGCUGUUGCCCCUUUGAAGCCAUGUGGAUAACUUACUCCUCCACACUGACCCUCAGUUCCAACCCAGAAAGACUGCCAUUGUAAGCCUACAUUAUAUUGACUGAAUUUUUCCCUCUGCUGAUCCUACACAAAUAAAAUAUCUUAAACCUGCAUGAACUGAUU